ACGCUGGCGGCGUGCCUAAUACAUGCAAGUCGAACGAGUUCUCGUUGAUGAUCGGUGCUUGCACCGAGAUUCAACAUGGAACGAGUGGCGGACGGGUGAGUAACACGUGGGUAACCUGCCCUUAAGUGGGGGAUAACAUUUGGAAACAGAUGCUAAUACCGCAUAGAUCCAAGAACCGCAUGGUUCUUGGCUGAAAGAUGGCGUAAGCUAUCGCUUUUGGAUGGACCCGCGGCGUAUUAGCUAGUUGGUGAGGUAAUGGCUCACCAAGGCGAUGAUACGUAGCCGAACUGAGAGGUUGAUCGGCCACAUUGGGACUGAGACACGGCCCAAACUCCUACGGGAGGCAGCAGUAGGGAAUCUUCCACAAUGGACGCAAGUCUGAUGGAGCAACGCCGCGUGAGUGAAGAAGGCUUUCGGGUCGUAAAACUCUGUUGUUGGAGAAGAAUGGUCGGCAGAGUAACUGUUGUCGGCGUGACGGUAUCCAACCAGAAAGCCACGGCUAACUACGUGCCAGCAGCCGCGGUAAUACGUAGGUGGCAAGCGUUAUCCGGAUUUAUUGGGCGUAAAGCGAGCGCAGGCGGUUUUUUAAGUCUGAUGUGAAAGCCCUCGGCUUAACCGAGGAAGCGCAUCGGAAACUGGGAAACUUGAGUGCAGAAGAGGACAGUGGAACUCCAUGUGUAGCGGUGAAAUGCGUAGAUAUAUGGAAGAACACCAGUGGCGAAGGCGGCUGUCUGGUCUGUAACUGACGCUGAGGCUCGAAAGCAUGGGUAGCGAACAGGAUUAGAUACCCUGGUAGUCCAUGCCGUAAACGAUGAAUGCUAGGUGUUGGAGGGUUUCCGCCCUUCAGUGCCGCAGCUAACGCAUUAAGCAUUCCGCCUGGGGAGUACGACCGCAAGGUUGAAACUCAAAGGAAUUGACGGGGGCCCGCACAAGCGGUGGAGCAUGUGGUUUAAUUCGAAGCAACGCGAAGAACCUUACCAGGUCUUGACAUCUUUUGAUCACCUGAGAGAUCAGGUUUCCCCUUCGGGGGCAAAAUGACAGGUGGUGCAUGGUUGUCGUCAGCUCGUGUCGUGAGAUGUUGGGUUAAGUCCCGCAACGAGCGCAACCCUUAUGACUAGUUGCCAGCAUUUAGUUGGGCACUCUAGUAAGACUGCCGGUGACAAACCGGAGGAAGGUGGGGAUGACGUCAAAUCAUCAUGCCCCUUAUGACCUGGGCUACACACGUGCUACAAUGGAUGGUACAACGAGUUGCGAGACCGCGAGGUCAAGCUAAUCUCUUAAAGCCAUUCUCAGUUCGGACUGUAGGCUGCAACUCGCCUACACGAAGUCGGAAUCGCUAGUAAUCGCGGAUCAGCACGCCGCGGUGAAUACGUUCCCGGGCCUUGUACACACCGCCCGUCACACCAUGAGAGUUUGUAACACCCGAAGCCGGUGGCGUAACCCUUUUAGGGAGCGAGCCGUCUAAGGUGGGACAAAUGAUUAGGGUGA
rnacentral:rRNA from 2 species